rnacentral:lncRNA from 1 species
CGGAAGGCUACACUGGAAGAGGCAAGAGACAAGCCCUCUAAAAAAGCCUAAGAUCUUUCCCUAAAGGACAUCGCAGUUGGAGUAGUAGAAUUUUUCAAUAUCUCUCAUGCCAAAGUGGGAUGCUUGAUCGGAGGACAAAGGACAUCUCCCAAGAUAAAGGAGAGCACUGACAAUCCUUCAAUGUUGGAUGAGGCAUCACCAUGACAUU